GACUACUGGGGUAUCUAAGCCUGUUUGCUCCCCACGCUUUCGUGCCUCAGUGUCAGUUACAGUCCAGAAAGUCGCCUUCGCCACUGAUGUUCCUCCUAAUAUCUACGCAUUUCACCGCUACACUAGGAAUUCCACUUUCCUCUCCUGCACUCAAGUCUCACAGUUCGCAAGGCUAACAAUGGUUAAGCCACUGCCUUUCACCCCACGCUUACAAGACCACCUACGCACUCUUUACGCCCAAUAAUUCCGGAUAACGCUCGCCCCCUACGUAUUACCGCGGCUGCUGGCACGUAGUUAGCCGGGGCUUCCUCCAAGGGUACCGUCAUUUUUUUCUUCCCCAAGGACAGAGCUUUACGACCCAAAGGCCUUCUUCGCUCACGCGGCGUUGCUGCAUCAGGCUUUCGCCCAUUGUGCAAUAUUCCUCACUGCAGCCGCCCGUAGG
rnacentral:rRNA from 1 species